rnacentral:rRNA from 1 species
GACGAACGCUGGCGGCGUGCUUAACACAUGCAAGUCGAACGAAGAGCGAUGGAAGCUUGCUUCUAUCAAUCUUAGUGGCGACCGGGUGAGUAACGCGUAAUCAACCUGCCCUUCAGAGGGGGACAACAGUUGGAAACGACUGCUAAUACCGCAUACGAUCUAAUCUCGGCAUCGAGGAUAGAUGAAAGGUGGCCUCUACAUGUAAGCUAUCACUGAAGGAGGGGAUUGCGUCUGAUUAGCUAGUUGGAGGGGUAACGGCCCACCAAGGCGAUGAUCAGUAGCCGGUCUGAGAGGAUGAGCGGCCACAUUGGGACUGAGACACGGCCCAGACUCCUACGGGAGGCAGCAGUGGGGAAUCUUCCGCAAUGGACGAAAGUCUGACGGAGCAACGCCGCGUGAGUGAUGACGGCCUUCGGGUUGUAAAGCUCUGUUAAUCGGGACGAAAGGCCUUCUUGCGAACAGUUAGAAGGAUUGACGGUACCGGAAUAGAAAGCCACGGCUAACUACGUG